CGUGCCGAUUGCCGUGUCUCGCUAGCUUGCUAGCUUGCAGUAUUUGUAUGUUUGCAAUUUUCUCCCUUACAAAACUCACAAUGUCAAUGAAACGUCCUGGGUCCAAAACGAAGAGGAAGAUGCUAACAAUGACACAAAAGGUUGGACUUUUUGGACAUGCUGAAAGAAUGUUGAAGUUACGUGGCUAUUCAGAGGCAAUAUGAAUACUGGGAAUGCACCUUCGGUUCAAAUGAGGACUACAGAAAUAUGUUUGAACAAGAUACAAGGAUACAGAAACACUACAGUACUGGAAGAAAAGGAAUUAAAGCAACCAGUCUGUGCCAGUCCUGCCCGGCCCGACCCUGCCCCGCACACAAACAGCAUCCUCCUGCAGUGAGGGGUGCGAUGGUGGUGGGAGGCCUCUAUUGUGAGAUGGUAAAGUCUGGAAACAGUGUUGCUCUGCCAUGUAGGUCACGGCAGCAAUGGCUGACUUCAGGUUAGGAGGAAGGAUCAGACAGAAUCCAUCUGCUUCUGGAAGUCUCUGAAGCUGCACAGGACUGUCACACCUAAAAAGGAUGAAGAAGACCCAGGACAUUAGGAUGUGAGGGUGUGAAAGCACACACCGCAAAACAUUAGGUAGCUGCAGAAUCAAAGGCUGUGUUUUUUUUGUGGUUCUGUACUCCGAUAUGGUCCAAAAAUUAAAAAAAAAAUACUGGACUGGUCGGCAGCCAAUCACAGGGCACAUAGUAUAGACAAACAACCAUUCACACUCACAUUCAUACCUAUGGACAAUUUACAUCCAUCCAUUUUCUAUGCCUCCUAUCCGCACUAGGGUCGCAGGUAUACUUCUGCAAUGUGCUCGGGUAUGUACUUACUUAAUAUUGCCAACAAA